GUUAAACCGGAGGAAGGUGGGGACGGACGUCAAGUCAUCAUGGCCCUUACUGUCCAGGGCUACACACGUGCUACAAUGGCCGGUACAAUGAGUUGCGACCCUCGCAAAGGUAAGCCAAUCUCAAAAAAACCGGUCUCAGUUCGGAUUGCAGUCUGCAACUCGACUGCAUGAAGUUGGAAUCGCUAGUAAUCGUAGAUCAGCACGCUACGGUGAAUACGUUCCCGGGCCUU
rnacentral:rRNA from 1 species